rnacentral:rRNA from 1 species
GACGAACGCUGGCGGCGCGCUUAACACAUGCAAGUCGAACGGAAAGGCCUGCUUUCCCUUGUGGAUUGCGGGUACUCGAGUGGCGGACGGGUGAGUAACACGUGAGUGAUCUGCCCCCAACUUGGGUAUAAGCCUGGGAAACUGGGUCUAAUUCCCGAUAGGACUGCAGGGUGGUGCCUGUGGUGGAAAACGAUUUUCUAGUGGUUGGGGAUGAGCUCGCGGCCUAUCAGCUUGUUGGUGGGGUAAUGGCCUACCAAGGCGGCGACGGGUAGCCGGCCUGAGAGGGUGGACGGCCACAGUGGGACUGAGAUACGGCCCAGACUCCUACGGGAGGCAGCAGUGGAGAAUAUUGCACAAUGGGCGGAAGCCUGAUGCAGCGACGCCGCGUGGGGGAUGACGGCCUUCGGGUUGUAAACUCCUUUCGACCGCGAGGAAGCCACCUGGUUGGAAGGGUGGUGACGGUAGUGGUAGAAGAAGCACCGGCUAACUACGUG